UGGCUCAUCUUAAAAUUUUCUCCUUCAUUGUUCUAACUUCUCUGCUGUUCAUGUCAAUUCCUCCAUUCUGUUGUGCUGACGCUAUCAUAGCAACAGAGAUCGAGCUCCACUGCAACCUUCAAAUGCUAAGUUGUCUCUAAGCAAAACUCCAAAACUCAAUCUGACUUUGUACUAUGAUUCACUGUGUCCAUCUAGCAGGGAUUUCAUCAUAAGGGAUCUAGUGAAAGUAUUUAUGGAGGACCUAAUCAGCAUUGUCAACCUCCGGCUUGUCCAAUGGGGCAAUGCUCUUAUUGUAGAACCCAACGAGAACAUAAUUUGCCAGCAUGGCCCAGAUGAUACAACCUGAAUGCUAUAGAGGCCUGUGCCAUUAACAUCUGGCCAGAUGUGGGAAAACCUGCUCUCUUCCAGUCUUCCUCAAAUCUCUUAAAAAUACAUCAUACAAUCUAUAGUUGCACUGUUAUCAAGUUUUAGUUAAUAAAUUGCUAGCAUAACAUGUACAACUAGCCUAAACUGUUGCAAAUAAUAUGAACUACUAAGAUACAAUGAAUUGUAACUCUAAUGCAGAAGCAACAUUUCAAAUUUCAUCUAGUGUGUUGAGAGUCAAGCCUCUGAAGGAAGGCAAAUAGGGGAAAACACAUGGAAAUCUUGUUGUCAAAAACUGAGUGAGUCCAAGGCCUGUUUCAGAUUGCUACAAUAGUGGCCUUGGGAGAGAGAUUUUACUACGUCAUACUGAUGAAACAAAUCAUCUUAAUCCGCCUCAUACAUUUGUAUCAUGGUUGAUCUUGGAUAACCAACCACUGUACAAGGACUUCAAAAACUUUGUCACCUAUGUUUGCAAGGCUUACAAAGGCCACCUUCAAAUAAAGGCUUGCAAAUCACUUCCAAAAGAGAUCAACUUAGAUGAGAAUGCCAAUUCAAUCCAACCGCUGUGUAAUGCUAGUGAAGCAAAGAAAAUGCAUGGGUCACCAACAGCUUCAUGGAUGCGACAUAUGAAGAUGGAACCUCCGGUCUAUUUCAGAUAUCGUUCUACAUCACCUUCUGCUCUGUCAAUCAUGGCUGGUCUACUACUAUUAUAAUAAUACCUUGCCAGCUUGUUUAUGGUGUUUAGAUGGAUAUAUAGCAAGCUUAUGAGAAGAGGGAACUACUGUUUGUAUGUCAUAGUGGAUAUACUUAUGGCUCAACUAGAAAUUUAUGUGGGUUAUAUGUAACUUUGA